rnacentral:lncRNA from 10 species
CUGCUAAACAAAAUAAUUUUAAUUACAUAAAAAUCCAAACAAAACAAUAAAAAUAUAGGAAGAAAAUCUAGGCAUAUAUUUGUAGAACUUUGCGAUGGAAAAGACCUUUUUAAGCAGAACAAGAAACACUAGGAAUCAUAAAGGAAAAAAACAUUUGAUUACACAAAUAUUAAAGAUUUUUAUAUAUGAAAAGAUUACAUAAGCAAUAACAAGAUAAAUCAUGGACUACAAAAAUGUGCAGCAAAUGUAUUGGAAAGUUAAUAGGCUUAAUGUACAAAGAACUCCAAAUAGAAAAUGGGGCACAGGAUUUGAAUAGGCAGUUUAUCAGAGCGACAACUUAAAGUGCUAUUAUAUACAUACAAGUAUUAAACCCCACUAGGAGUCCAGUCAAAGCAAAUUGAAACAGCAAUGACAUAUUCUUUUUUUAACCUGUGAGAUUAGCUGUAACACCCACUGUUUGUAAGGAUGAUGUAAGGGAACUC